rnacentral:rRNA from 1 species
GACGUAGGGCGCGAGCGUUGUCCGGAUUUAUUGGGCGUAAAGAGCUCGUAGGCGGCUUGUCGCGUCGAAUGUGAAAUCCUGCGGCUCAACUGCAGGCUUGCAUUCGAUACGGGCAGGCUCGAGUUCGGUAGGGGAGACUGGAAUUCCUGGUGUAGCGGUGAAAUGUGCAGAUAUCAGGAGGAACACCGGUGGCGAAGGCGGGUCUCUGGGCCGAUACUGACGCUGAGGAGCGAAAGCGUGGGGAGCGAACAGG